rnacentral:misc_RNA from 1 species
AAAUGCGAUAAGUAAUGUGAAUUGCAGAAUUCAGUGAAUCAUCGAAUCUUUGAACGCACAUUGCGCCCCCUGGUAUUCCGGGGGGCAUGCCUGUUCGAGCGUCAUUUCACCACUCAAGCCUCGCUUGGUAUUGGGCGACGCGGUCCGCCGCGCGCCUCAAAUCGACCGGCUGGGUCUUUCGUCCCCUCAGCGUUGUGGAAACUAUUCGCUAAAGGGUGCCGCGGGAGGCCACGCCGUAAAACAACCCCAUUUCUAAGGUUGACCUCGGAUCAGGUAGGGAUACCCGCUGAACUUAAGCA